rnacentral:rRNA from 1 species
AGUGAACGCUGGCGGUAGGCCUAACACAUGCAAGUCGAACGGCAGCACAGUAAGAGCUUGCUCUUACGGGUGGCGAGUGGCGGACGGGUGAGGAAUACAUCGGAAUCUACUUUUUCGUGGGGGAUAACGUAGGGAAACUUACGCUAAUACCGCAUACGACCUACGGGUGAAAGCAGGGGAUCUUCGGACCUUGCGCGAUUGAAUGAGCCGAUGUCGGAUUAGCUAGUUGGCGGGGUAAAGGCCCACCAAGGCGACGAUCCGUAGCUGGUCUGAGAGGAUGAUCAGCCGCACUGGAACUGAGACAUGGUCCAGACUCCUACGGGAGGCAGCAGUGGGGAAUAUUGGACAAUGGGCGCAAGCCUGAUCCAGCCAUACCGCGUGGGUGAAGAAGGCCUUCGGGUUGUAAAGCCCUUUUGUUGGGAAAGAAAAGCAGCAGGUUAAUACCCCGCUGUUCUGACGGUACCCAAAGAAUAAGCACCGGCUAACUUCGUG